UACGGAGGGGGUUAGCGGUGUUCGGAAUUACUGGGCGUAAAGCGCGCGUAGGCGGAUCAGAAAGUUGGGGGUGAAAUCCCGGGGCUCAACCUCGGAACUGCCUCCAAAACUCCUGGUCUUGAGUUCGAGAGAGGUGAGUGGAAUUCCGAGUGUAGAGGUGAAAUUCGUAGAUAUUCGGAGGAACACCAGUGGCGAAGGCGGCUCACUGGCUCGAUACUGACGCUGAGGUGCGAAAGUGUGGGGAGCAAACAGG
rnacentral:rRNA from 1 species